UACGUAGGAGACGAGCGUUGUCCGGAGUUACUGGGCGUAAAGCGCGCGUAGGCGGACGCUCAAGUCUGGCCUGAAAGCCCCCGGCUCAACCGGGGAGUGGGGCUGGAAACUGGGUUUCUUGAGGGCGAUAGAGGAGUGUGGAAUUCCUGGUGUAGCGGUGAAAUGCGUAGAGAUCAGGAGGAACACCCGUGGCGAAGGCGGCGACCUGGGUAGAUACUGACGCUGAGGCGCGAAAGCGUGGGGAGCAAACAGG
rnacentral:rRNA from 1 species